rnacentral:lncRNA from 1 species
UUUUCCUUCUUCUACUUCUCCCCCUUCCUCUCCUUCUUUUUUUUCUUCAUUUUCUUGUUCUUUUUUUUUUUUUUUUUUUAAUACAUCAUCAUUACUUUUUUCAUAUAUUACUGUAACUUCUUCAUUUUUAACAAUCGGUUCUACAUUUUGCAAUUCAUUAUUUUCAUGUACAAAAAUAUUUUCAGUUGCUAAUUUAUGUUUACUAUCUUCUAUUAAUUCAUUUAACUUAUUUACAUUGUUAUUUAUAAAUGUAUGUUUUUCCUGUUCACAAAAUUCAAUACUAUUAAUGUCCUUUGAAUUAUCAAUAACAUUAUCUUUCAAUAUUUUAUUGCUAUAUUCUUUAUUGUACACAUCAGAAUGUGCAUCAUCAACUGAAGCCAUUAAAUCACCCUUCAGGUCAUCAAUAUAUUUAUCACCUUUUUCAUCAAUAUAUUUAUCACCUUUUUCAUCAAUAUAUUUAUCACCUUUUUCAUCAAUAUAUUUAUCACCUUUUUCAUCCAUAUAUUUAUCACCUUUUUCAUCAAUAUAUUUAUCACCUUUUUCAUCAAUAUAUUUAUCACCUUUUUCAUCAAUAUAUUUAUCACCUUUUUCAUCAAUAUAUUUAUCACCUUUUUCAUCAAUAUAUUUAUCACCUUUUUCAUCAAUAUAUUUAUCACAUUUUUCAUCAAUACAUUUAUCACCUUUUUCAUCAAUAUAUUUAUCACCUUUUUCAUCAAUAUAUUUAUCACCUUUUUCAUCAAUACAUUUAUCACCUUUUUCAUCAAUAUAUUUAUCACCUUUUCCAUCAAUACAUUUAUCACCUUUUUCAUCAAUAUAUUUAUCACCUUUUNNNNNNNNNNGCUUCUCCUACUUUUCUUUCUUUUCCUUCUUCUACUUCUCCCCCUUCCUCUCCUUCUUUUUUUUCUUCAUUUUCUUGUUCUUUUUUUUUUUUUUUUUUUAAUACAUCAUCAUUACUUUUUUCAUAUAUUACUGUAACUUCUUCAUUUUUAACAAUCGGUUCUACAUUUUGCAAUUCAUUAUUUUCAUGUACAAAAAUAUUUUCAGUUGCUAAUUUAUGUUUACUAUCUUCUAUUAAUUCAUUUAACUUAUUUACAUUGUUAUUUAUAAAUGUAUGUUUUUCCUGUUCACAAAAUUCAAUACUAUUAAUGUCCUUUGAAUUAUCAAUAACAUUAUCUUUCAAUAUUUUAUUGCUAUAUUCUUUAUUGUACACAUCAGAAUGUGCAUCAUCAACUGAAGCCAUUAAAUCACCCUUCAGGUCAUCAAUAUAUUUAUCACCUUUUUCAUCAAUAUAUUUAUCACCUUUUUCAUCAAUAUAUUUAUCACCUUUUUCAUCAAUAUAUUUAUCACCUUUUUCAUCCAUAUAUUUAUCACCUUUUUCAUCAAUAUAUUUAUCACCUUUUUCAUCAAUAUAUUUAUCACCUUUUUCAUCAAUAUAUUUAUCACCUUUUUCAUCAAUAUAUUUAUCACCUUUUUCAUCAAUAUAUUUAUCACCUUUUUCAUCAAUAUAUUUAUCACAUUUUUCAUCAAUACAUUUAUCACCUUUUUCAUCAAUAUAUUUAUCACCUUUUUCAUCAAUAUAUUUAUCACCUUUUUCAUCAAUACAUUUAUCACCUUUUUCAUCAAUAUAUUUAUCACCUUUUCCAUCAAUACAUUUAUCACCUUUUUCAU